AAACAUAUGCAACUCAUAUAUGCCAGGGGUGCAUCCGUCUUUUCGAAAUUGCGGAUUUAGAGAAUUUGGCUGUGCUGCUACAUUCUAGAUUCGAUGUGAAAGCAAUGUCACGAGAACGAGCUCUAAGAUGAAAAUACAGAAAGAGCUCGAAGGCGAAAAGCUUUUUUUAGCAAUAAUGCAAGAAGAUUCGUUCAACCUACAUUGACGAGGGGAUAUAUUCUGAUAAAAAAAAGGCAAUCUUUCUGCGACGUAAACUUGGAAAGUGGUGGCAAUUGGAAGCCUGGUUAUGGAGCUGGCUGCUGAGAUGUCGAAUUGCUUCUCUCUCCUCUAUCAAGUGGUAAAUUGUAUUCUCUUUUCAGAAGUUGUUAGCAGUAAAAUGGUAGAUAUUUUUAUUUUUUAUUUUUUUUACAGAAAUAUAAAGUAAAUAAUUUUUCGUACACUGUCGCUACUGCGGUGAUGAAUGCAAAAUAUACGAAAAAAUUCUUUAGUUAAAUAAAACAUACCACAUUGGUAAACAUUGUGUAACACUGUCUCUCACCAUUUUGUUUCUUUUUACCUGAUGUUUGCUUGUGCAAGCAGUUUUAUGGUUUAUCUCGAGAAACAGCGUUUAUCAAGAUUCGAUUAUAAAGUAUUAUUUUCUAGA